rnacentral:rRNA from 1 species
GAAUAAACUUGAUCAGGUUGUUGCUGGCUCCCCUGAGCAUGUGCACACUUGUCAUCUUUACUUCUCCCCACUGUGCACAUAUUGUAGGCCUGGAAUUCUUAUGAUUAUUUUGUAUAGAUUGAGGACUGCUGUGCUUUAGCCAGCUUUUCCUUGCAUUUCCAGGUCUAUGUUUACCUUCACAACCUCUGAAUAUGUUUAGAAUGUUGGAAUAUAAUAUAUAUAUAUAUACAACUUUCAGCAACGGAUCUCUUGGCUCUCGCAUCGAUGAAGAACGCAGCGAAAUGCGAUAAGUAAUGUGAAUUGCAGAAUUCAGUGAAUCAUCGAAUCUUUGAACGCAUCUUGCGCUCCUUGGUAUUCCGAGGAGCAUGCCUGUUUGAGUGUCAUCAAUCUCUCAACUACAUCAACCUUUCUGGUUUGGUGUAGCUUUUGGAUGUGGGGGUUUUAUUUUGCUGGCCUCUAUUAAAUGAGGUCAGCUCCCCUGAAAUUUAUUAGCGGUAUCUGAGCAGAGACCCUACUACAGGUGUGAUAAAUUAUCUAUGCCUUGGUAAUGCUGCAUAAACAGAUUGAGCUGCUUCCAGUG